GAUGAACGCUAGCUACAGGCUUAACACAUGCAAGUCGAGGGGUAGCAGGGUAGCAAUACCGCUGACGACCGGCGCACGGGUGAGUAACACGUAUCCAACCUUCCCAUAACUCGGGGAUAGCCUUUCGAAAGAAAGAUUAAUACCCGAUAGUACUUAACAAAGGCAUCUUUGAUAAGUUAAAGAUUUAUUGGUUAUGGAUGGGGAUGCGUUCCAUUAGAUAGUUGGUGAGGUAACGGCUCACCAAGUCUUCGAUGGAUAGGGGUUCUGAGAGGAAGGUCCCCCACAUUGGUACUGAGACACGGACCAAACUCCUACGGGAGGCAGCAGUGAGGAAUAUUGGUCAAUGGGCGAGAGCCUGAACCAGCCAAGUAGCGUGAAGGAUGAAGGUCCUAUGGAUUGUAAACUUCUUUUAUAGUAGAAUAAAGUGAUCCACGUGUGGAUUUUUGUAUGUAUACUAUGAAUAAGGAUCGGCUAACUCCGUGCCAGCAGCCGCGGUAAAACGUG
rnacentral:rRNA from 1 species